AAAAAUACCCUCUGUUAGACAAUGAAACCUCCUUAGCAUAGGUGUUGUUGUUGUUGUUGUUGAAUAGACUUUAUUUUUUAGAGUGAUUUUAAGUUCACAGAAAAAUUGAGUGGAAAGUGCAGAGAAGAGUUCCAGCAUAUCCUUUAACCCCACACAUGUACAACCUGCCCCACUAUCAACAUCCUGCAUCAGAGUGGUACAUUUUUUACAAAGGAUGAAGCUACAUCAAGGUAUCAUUAUCACCAAAAGUCCAUGGUUUACCUUAGGGUUCACUCUUGGUGUUAUAUAUUUCAUAGGUUUGAACAAAUAUGUAAUGACAUCUAUCCACCAGUAUAGUAUCUCAAAAAUUAUCUGCCCUGCCUCUGCACCCCUCCUUCCUCAACUACUCAACCAUUUAUCUUUUUACUCUCUCCAUAAUUUUGCCUCUUUCAGAAUGUCAUAUAGUUGGAGUCAUACAACAUGUAGCCCUUUUAGGAUGGGAUUCUUUCAUUCAGUAUUAUGCAUUUAAUAUUCCACCAUGUCCUUUUGAUGGCUUGAUAGCUUAUUUCUUUUUAGUGCCUAAUAAUAUUCUGUUGACUGGAUGUGUCACAGUUUGUUUAUCCAUUUACCGACUGAAAUAGAUCUUGCUUAAUUUAUGAAUAAAGCUGCUCUAAACAUCCACGUACACAGUUUUGUAUGAACAUAAGGUUUCAGUCCCUUUGGAUAAAUAUCAAGUGUGACUGCUGGAUUGUAUGCUAAGAGUAUGUUUGAUUUAGUAAGAAACUAUCAGGUUGUCUACCAAAAUGGCUAUACCAUUUUGUAUUCCCACCAGUAAUGCAUGAGCAUUCCUGUUGCUCCAUAUCCUUCCCAGCAUUUGUCCCAGACUGUAGCUGUUAAAAGCCCAUACAACUGCCAAAGUUAAAACGUUCUGAAGUCCACUCAUACCUCUGAAUUUAUAAAGCUCCUCUAAAUUCCCAGUUUUUUGUUUUGAUGUUUUAAUAUUCCUCAACAUCUGUCUGUUGGGAGGUCUUCUGACUUAAGAGCUAUACUCCCUUUCCAAACUACAGAUUUCCCUAGGUCCUCUAGAGGCAGCUGGUCUCCUGUGCAUCCUAUGGCCAGUGAGAGAAUGAUUGGUCUGGGCUGUGUAGGCCUGCUGGCUGCCAAGAGAUCUAAAGGCUACUUAGAGAAUGCUGAUUUAUUCUGCAUAAACUUAACGGUCAAGUGAGUCAUUCCACUUCCCUGAAGGGAAAGUGAAUACAGAGGCAGAGAAGCCAGGAGUUACAUUCAUUGGGUUCCUUCUUCAUGGGAAAAAACUAAAGUAAAGGAGAAGCUUUCUCUGUAAUAGGGUGGCCUCUGUCUUCUUGGGGAAGUAGGAGACAACCUUAUGUCAUAAAAAUAUUUCAGGCAGGGCAAGAUUUGGGGACUUUAGGAAAAUAGAGGUGGUUUAGAGUAGCUGUUGUGGGGAAUGGAAUAAGGACUCAAGAAGAGAUUAAUUAUAAAAAAAAAUUCCUGAGUGUCCCCAAUGGUCUAGAGUUAGAGUCCAAUUAGAUUUAGGAAGCAGUCAAGGUUUAAAUUAAUCCAGGAGCUGAGAUGAAAAACGUGAACAAUGGAAGGGACUAGUACUAACCAGAGUGGGAGAAAACCAAGAUCACUACAGUGACCAGGCUUCACAAAGGACAAGUGAAGCGAAUUAGAAUACUGAUACCACUGGCUAAUGUUCAUCAUGGAUUUAGUGUGUGCCAGAUUUAUGUGGAUUAUCUCAUUUAACCUUCACAGGAAGCCUGUGAGAAAUUUAGGGCAUAAAGGGAUUAAGUAAUUUGUCUCUGGUCACUCGGCUAGGGAAGAGAGGGUCAGGAUUUAAACCUAGACAGACUGACUCUACAAUCUCUAGCCUUAACCAUAGCAGUACUAGAUGAGGAUUGAUGGAAUUUAUGUUACUCUGACGACAAAUACCAGCUUCAGUAGAACGGAAGAAAUGACGAGAUGAGAGGUGAUGGCUGGGGAUGGACAUUUGUUUAAAUUGUGAGAGGUUGAGCAGAUUCAAGAUGCACAGAAGUUCUGUUUUUAGGCUGCUAGACCACAACCACCAUUGGGGUGACAUAAUUUUGCAUUUACUGCAACAUUGGUUUAAAGAACCUGCCAGGGGGUACAUCAAGUGCAUGUGACUGCCGCCUUGCAGUGUUUGCUGCUGCAGGUGGCGGUGGUGUGCUGGAGAAACCAGAACAGAACAUAGAGGCACACAACAUCCUCAGCAAAUGGGAAGUCAGUGUCCUGUUCUUAUGUCAAGUUUUCAGAAAUGACACAUGACAAGCCAAAUAUUUAGAAUUUUGAAACUGUGUAUGAUCAGAUGCACAAUGAUCUCCUUAGGAAGGACAGAGUAGCAUUUUACAUAUGUUGGACAGAAGUAAGAGAAUCAAGUCCUGGCCAGAAAGUCUCCAGAACUGUAAAGAUCUGUUUGAUCUGAUCCUCACCUGGGAAGAAAGAGUGACCAACCCACCAGAUGGUUGAAGAUCUGAAUUCCAGAGAGCAGGAGACCUGCUAGCCAGUGUGCAAUGUGGACAUCCAGGGCAGCCAUGGAGAGGCCACCCUGGGGCGUUCUUCAUCUGUGAACUAUGCCGGUGCAUUCAGCACAUGGAAAACAUGAAGAAUUAGACUGAUGAGCUGUUGCAGGAGUUGGAGAAGAGCCACAGGGCUUUCGUGAACGUAGUCUGCUUCGACUGACCUGCCUGGCCUGGUGCCCAGUGGGCUGCGCACCCUUUUGAACCCAUCUUCUUGAGCUUCCUCUUGUUAAUGCUUUUUCCUUUCUGAUAUUUGUGUUUGCUUUUAGGUAUUCUGCCAGUGGAUAGUAGUAGUACCCAAAUAAACUGUACAUAUGAAAUGAGAAGAUAGACACAAAUGCCACAUUAAAAACAAUCAAGUUUUUUCUA